rnacentral:rRNA from 1 species
GAGUUUGAUCCUAGCUCUAGAUGAACUUUAAUAUCAUGCUUAACACGUGUAAGUCGGACAAAAAGUGGUAAUUUCGGUGGUCGGCCGGUGAAUAAUGCGUAAGAACUUGCCUUUGAGAGGGGAACAAUAGCUGGAAAUGGCCGCUAAUACGUCGUAGGCUGAGGAGUAAGAGGAGAAAUCCUUCCGAGUGGAGAGCUUGCAUCUGAUUAGUUAGUUGGUGAUGUUAGCUUUCUAAGACAAUGAUCAGUAGUUGAUCCUAGAGGAUAAUGAGCCACACUAGGAUUGAGACACAACCCGAACUUGCAGUAGUGGCAUGGUGUUAUGUUUGGCAUGGAAGAUUACAUAGUAUGUUCUAAACAUCUACUGUUCUUU